UAUUAGUUUUAGGUUAUUUUCUACAUGUAUGAGGAGACUUGACCUUGAUACAAGAUAAAAUUCUAAUCGAAAGGAAGGUCACCGAUCCAGUAUUUAUAAAAUGGCUUUUAUGUUGAAAUAUAUUGAGACGAAGAAAAGAUAAGUUAGGAAAAAAAGAGAGGUAAAUCAGUUAGAAAGGAAUAAUCGACCAAAGGGAUCUGAGAAGGUGAUUAUGUCUGAGCAGAACAUCAUUGGCUGUCUGGGACAUAUGAAGAUGGAGUGCCAAGUAGAAAAAAAAAUUUGAUAAUCCAAUAUAUAUUGGACUAUGGUUCAUAAUUGUAUGAAAAGAAGAAAGAAAAAAAUAGAAGACACAGGCAUACUAAGGAAUGACAAACAAAAUGUAUUAGUUUGCUGCUCAUGAAAAAUGGAAGAAGUUUUUGACAUUUCGAGCCUAUGCUCUUCUACAGAAAAGAAUGAGGAACGAAACCAUGAAGAGAAGGAAAUAAAAAAGGAGAGAGGAAAAAA